rnacentral:lncRNA from 1 species
UAAUGUAUAUUAUUCCUCGAAUUGCUCGUUGAGAGGUAUAAAGGAUUAAAUCCCUUUAAGUAAGAAAUACAGUUUUUGAUCGUGAUAUGAAUCACGCAAGGGACCCCUUAACUAUUCAGGAUCAAUAAUUCUAAAUUGUAUACAAAUUACGAUAAUGUAUAUUAUUCCUCGAAUUGCUCGUUGAGAGGUAUAAAGGAUUAAAUCCCUUUAAGUAAGAAAUACAGUUUUUGAUCGUGAUAUGAAUCACGCAAGGGAACCCUUAACUAUUCAGGAUCAAUAGAACGAAUCGCACUUUUACCACUAAACUAUACCCGCUACAAUACCAUUAUUGUAUAUAAAACGAUCUUUUGUCCAACAAGGGAAUCAGUCAUAAUUAUGAAAUAGGAGCAUAAUUUUAUGAGAAAUAGAGUGUUUCCAUGUUUCGUAAAGGGCCCCCUAAUGAAAUUUAGAAAAGGGGGCAAAUCUCAUUUUUGGAUUUUGUUGAAGGUAUUUUGACAGAUAGAUCUCGACAAAAAUACUAAACUAAAUUCAUAACACAAAAAUACAUUAUGCAAGCAAGAAUCCAUAGUUCUAUUUCUUUUUUUAGAUACGUUACCUGAUUCAUUCGUAGGAUAUACGAUCACAAAGUGAUUUUUAUUUUUGUUCGAUCAUAUUUAAAUGUUUGAAUUAAUUACAAGUUUCAAAUCUGAUACAGAAAAAUAAAUCAUUGUUAUCCAGGAUUCAUGGGAAAAAAGAGCUGUGCCAGUACCUAGCUGGACUCUGGUUGGAUAAAAAUAAAGGGCCCCCUAAUGAAAUUUAGAAAAGGGGGCAAAUCUCAUUUUUGGAUUUUGUUGAAGGUAUUUUGACAGAUAGAUCUCGACAAAAUUACUAAACUAAAUUCAUAACACAAAAAUACAUUAUGUAAGCAAGAAUCCAUAGUUCUAUUUCUUUUUUUAGAUACGUUACCUGAUUCAUUCGUAGGAUAUACGAUCACAAAGUGAUUUUUAUUUUUGUUUGAUCAUAUUUAAAUGUUUGAAUUAAUUACAAGUUUCGAAUCUGAUACAGAAAAAUAAAUCAUUGUUAUCCAGGAUUCAUGGGAAAAAAGAGCUGUGCCAGUACCUAGCUGGACUCUGGUUGGAUAAAAAAACAAACUAAAAAAGAAAAUCUAAAAUUAUAGAUUUAGAAUAUCUAUUUAGUAUAUAUAGAAUGAAUAUAUAUUUGAAUCUAUAUUUAUGAGUUAAUAUAGAAUUAUGAAUAGUAAUGAAAUAAAAUUAUAAUCAAAUAGAAAAAAAAAAAAAGAUAGAUAAGAUAUAUCAAAUGAAGAUCAAUAUCAAAUAAGAUAUAUAGAAGGCUUUUUUCGAGCCCUAUUGUUUGAUCAUAUUUAAAUGUUUGAAUUAAUUACAAGUUUCAAAUCUGAUACAGAAAAAUAAAUCAUUGUUAUCCAGGAUUCAUGGGAAAAAAGAGCUGUGCCAGUACCUAGCUGGACUCUGGUUGUAUAAAAAAACAAACUAAAAAAGAAAAUCUAAAAUUAUAGAUUUAGAUUAUCUAUUUAGUAUAUAUAGAAUGAAUAUAUAUUUGAAUCUAUAUUUAUGAGUUAAUAUAGAAUUAUGAAUAGUAAUGAAAAAAAAUUAUAAUCAAAUAGAAAAAAAAAAAAGAUAGAUAAGAUAUAUCAAAUGAAGAUCAAUAUCAAAUAAGAUAUAUAGAAGGCUUUUUUCGAGCCCUACUUUUUGUUCUUUUUGUUUAUGCGAGGUAUCAUGAGCAUAAUCAUUCCAUUUUUUGAAUUGGGGAGAGAUGGCUGAGUGGACUAAAGCGUCGGAUUGCUAAUCCGUUGUACGCAUUUUUGUACCGAGGGUUCGAAUCCCUCUCUUUCCGUUUAUUGAUGAUUUGACAUUUUUUUCUUUUGAACUUAUGGAAUUUCUUUUUUUUUUUUAUUAUUAUUCCCUGUUUCUUUCAUUUUUAACUAGUUCUUUUUGAAAAAUAGAUAGAAAAACGAAAAAUAUUUCAAAAUCCAGGACAUUUUUUUUUAUUAUUAUUCCCUGUUUCUUUCAUUUUUAACUAGUUCUUUUUGAAAAAUAGAUAGAAAAACGAAAAAUAUUUCAAAAUCCAGGACAAGUAAGGAAAAGAAAAAAGAUUUUCUUAUUCUUCAUGUCCAGGAUUACGUCCCGGAUCAUUAGAUAGGAAUCCGAAGAUGAAAAGAGAAACAAAGAAUAUCACUAUCGUGUAAACAAAUAGUUUUAGAGUAAGCAUUACAAAAUCUCCAAGAUAAUUAAAAAAACGACAGAGAAAGAGAAUAGAUUCUCUUCUAUUUCAUAUUAUGUUUCCUUUGAGACUCAGUUUAUAAGAAAUGAAUUCGAAAUUAUUAGCUGGGAUGGUUGGGUUUACUAUACUAGAACUAGGUUCUUCGUUGGAUGGUUGGGCGAAGUCCUUAAGAGGUUUUUGGUUUUGAUCUUCGGCCAUAGCUCUCCUAAUUCUAUGGAAAAAUAAACGUGCGCGAGCGUAACGUUUAGGUUCCGCCAGAGAAUAUACUAAGCUUCUGGUGCUGCGAGUCCUUCGCAUUGACCGAUAGGUAAUAACCUAAGUCUAAACGAUAUAACAACAGGGUACGAAAUUUGACGAAAUUGGUCCCCGACAACGGCGCCAAAAACUUGAUGCGUUAUUUUUCGCAAGUAUACGAACGUGUCAGAGUAAUAUAAAAGAUUGUCGAAUCCACAGAGACCAAGUGUCAAUCUAUCGUUAUCUAUUGUUAUGGUGUUUAUCUAAGGUAAUCUAAAUAGGGUUUUUAAGAGUGCACAAUGAAAAUAAAUUAUUAAAUUAAAUUCGAUUGAUAAAGACAGGUUCGAAUGUAAUUCACAUAAUCAAUUAAUAAUCCAAGUACUUGCUAAUAGAAUUACUUAUGGGCAGUGUUUCCUACUUUGAAAAGAACCAAUUUAAUGGGAACUGCUCGUUUGCGUAUUCCAGACCGAGAGUUGUACCUCGGCCUAAUCCAACCCGUCUUGAUGGUCACUUAUAAAAGGCGCGCAUUGCGUUAGAGUAGUAAACCUAUUUUUAAGAAAUAUAGUGUCUUGACUAAGUUGAAAAGUAUUUUGACCUGGAUUUCUUAACCAAAAGAGGUUCUCACGAACCAGACUCUAAACUUAUAAACACGUCCGAAAAUAGUUUUAAAAUCACUUUUCAUUUUAAGUUAAAAACUCCUAAUGAACUAAACAAAGCGCUUUCGCUGUAUUUGAAAUGGUUAAAAACAACUAAGUUUAAACAGACGUCGGACGGCUUUCGAUCUUACCCAACGAAAAUUAAGUGUGGAAAACUUAAGUUGAAAGUCAAAAUAACCCUUAAGUGUUUCUAUGAACAAUUAUACGGAUUAUCGGUUCAAUUACGAUCCUUACAUUCUAACCUUUAUAGGUUUAGCUAGACAUGGUAAAGUAAAGAUGCAUUUUAAUUUAAAUAAAAGUAGUGCGAGUGCGGGAAAUUAAAUAAAAGUAGUGCGGUGCAAGAAGUAAAUAAAAGUAGUGCAGUGCGGAAAGUAAACAAAGUAAAGGCAGUGCGGGAAAUAAAUAAAGUAAAGUGCGAGUGCGGGAGAGUAAACAAAGUAAAGGCAGUGCGGGAAAUAAAUAAAGUAAAGUACGAGUGCAGGAAAUUAAAGUAGACAAAGGUAAAGCAAUAAAACCUGCUCCAAUCGGAGGGUCGAAUAAAGUGCGUAACAGAAAUAAAAAUGGCGGCAAGAUUAACUUCCUUCCAAAGUGCUCCAAACUCGAUUACAGACUCGAUUACACAGUUGUGGCAACACUCCGAUGUAAAACGAUUACCACUUUUACACAAUACUGAUAUAUGCCUAGUUGUAACUAAGUUUGGAUGAAGAAACAAAUGAAAUCAAAUCUCUAUUCAUAGGCAAGGAAAAUAAAGGAAAUGACAAGGAUGCCCCUAAGUUUGAAAUUGGGAGGGAAACAUCUUUGUUCUUGUGGCGCACGCCACCACAUUAUGGCGCCCGCCAUAGGAGUAAAUUGUGGCGCCCAAGUGGAGAUAGUGGGAGAUGUGGCAGUUAAGGAGAAGUUGAAUUGGGACACGUCAUGGCUGGACCUAUGGCGCCAGCCACAGUGGGAGCCACAAGUGUAAAAUUCUGAUUUUUAGGCUUUUUAGCUCAUUUUCACUCCUUUUCUCUAUCGGGGCUCCGAUUAGACUGAAAACCUGAAAACAAAGAAAAACAUAGUAAAAACAUAACAAAAUAACAAUAAAACAACUAAAAUGCAUGCGAAAUCGGAGUCGAAAAUACGGUGAAUUUCAGUGUCAUCAAUAGGCCCAUGUAAUGAUUCAUUCAGGUCCAAAAUCAUGUGUAAGCAAUGCCGAAGUCAUGCUAACAAGCCAUGCAUUCGUGUAUGGAAAAUGGAAGUUCAAUUAUGCCAAAUAGGGAUCCAACUUUAAGCCAUGCGUAAGUCACUCAUACUAUGUCCAAAUGGGAUGAAUUUGGACUUUUUGGAAAGGUUAGGUCUAAAGUAACAACUUUCAUGUUGGACACUUUUUCAUUUUAAGCUUGGGUCAUUAUUAAUUUUGAUGUGGAAGUUUGGAAAAUCAAACAUAUCAAAAACAAUUCUAAGCACCAAGCCAUAUGUUCACUUCUUCCACCUUGGAUAGCUUUUUCUAU